CUCUGCUGGACGGAGACCAGGGAGAGAAGCAGCUCCGACAGACGCCUCCACUGCAGGAGAGCGUCCACGCAGCCGAGGACGGGAGACAUCACCGAGGAAUGGAGGAGAUGCUGACUCAGCUGGUUCUGGGAUGGACCGCCUUGCUCAGUGGCCUCCAGCCGGCGGCUUCCCUCGUCACAACCAAGUUUCCACCCGGCAGGUGGUCGGCUUUGAAAUGUGACGUCUUCAUCCCUCCUCCUCCGCCCAUGUUUCCUCCGAUCGAAUGGAAAGCAGAGAUCAUGG